CUUCCAGUGAAGGACUCAGAAGGCUAGAAACGUUUCCAGAUGAAAAGGCAGCAUAUUUCAGAAACUUCCAUAAGGUGACUGAACUGCAUAACAUCAAAAGCAUAACCAGACUGCCUCGAGAGAGAAAGAUGCAUGCAGUAGCAAUUAUAUUUCAUGAUGAAACAUUGAAGACAUUUGCCUGUGAAUCAGAGCUGAAGGCCGAGGAAUGAUGCAAACAUCUCUGCAUGGAGUGUCUGGGGACCAGGCUGAACGACAUCCUGAGAAGCCGGACCUGCUGGCCUCAGGCGUACAGCGCAAGCAGAACGAACGUUUCAACGUGUGCCUCAUGCCUACAUACAAUCUGGAUAUUUAUGGUGCAUGUACAAUGCAGAUCACUCAUGAGAAUAUCUAUCUCUGGGAUAUCCACAAUGCCAAGGUCAAGCUGGUGAUGUGGCCCCUCAGCUCAUUGAGGAGAUACAGUCGGGACUCAACAUGGUUCACAUUUGAGUCUGGAAGAAUGUGUGACACGGGAGAAGAACUGUUCACCAUUCAAACAAGAAAAGGAGAGAUGAUGUAUCAGAAGGUCCAUUCUGCAACACAGGCCAUAGCUGAGCAACAUGAAAGAUUGAUGCAGGAAAUGGAACAGAAUGCCCAGGAUAAACAAGAGCUAUUCUACAAGAAUUUUGUUGGAAAAACUUACCCAUUAGCCCUAUAG